UACGUAGGGUGCGAGCGUUGUCCGGAAUUAUUGGGCGUAAAGAGCUCGUAGGCGGUGUGUCACGUCGGCCGUGAAAACCUGGGGCUCAACUCUGGGCGUGCGGUCGAUACGGGCAUCACUUGAGUUCGGCAGGGGAGGACUGGAAUUCCUGGGUGUAGCGGUGAAAUGCGCAGAUAUCGGGAGGAACACCGGUGGCGAAGGCGGUUCUCUGGGCCUUACCUGACGCUGAGGAGCGAAAGCGUGGGGAGCGAACAGG
rnacentral:rRNA from 1 species